rnacentral:lncRNA from 1 species
GAAAAAGGUCCCAUCUGGAGACCUGCUUUGCAAUACUUUCCUCUUCUAACCACAUCACCUGACAGAAUCUAGAAGAUCCUGCUUUGGGUAGGUGAGACCUAAAUGCUUUUGUCACCUUCUUCUAUUCCAGUGAGGAGCUGAGUGAGAUCCAAGAAGAAAAUGCUUCCUUCGGUAUCCUGGGUAGGUGCUCCUCCAGAAGCAGGGGUUCUAGGAAGAGGUCAAGACAAAGAGUGGAGAGAAGGAUGCCCAUAGCCUUUCUCAGAGGGGCUUAGAUUUGGAUUCUAUCUCCCACAGCAUCAUCUGUGACUGCCUUGCUCUUGGGUAAGCGACACACUCUGGGUUAGGGUUAAGGCUAGGGCGAGGGCUAGGGUGAGGGCUAGGGCUAGGGCUAGGGCUAGGGCUAGGGCUAGGGCUAGGGCUAGGGCUAGGGUUAGGGUGUUGCCGCUCCCCUCAGUGUUCUCUCACUUGAAAUCGUAUCAGUGACAGUAUAGCCUGCCCAAACAGCUUCUGGGUGUGCUCCUGGCCCAAGGGUAGGAAAGGGAUCAAGAACUUCCAACUCAACCCAGAAAUGUGCAAUCCAUUAAGGUUGCUUUGCCAUCCUUGCCCUUUGCUAAGACAACAAGUCUUGCCAGGAAAGUAGCACUUACCAGCUCCCCAAGCACACGUGACCUCAGGGGUUCACAUGCCCACUUGAGAGAGCAGAACCCACUUAGCCCAUGAACUGUAGUGAGAGCAUCACUCCCCACCCAGAAUCACAGGUGACCCCAUUUCACAUGUCUCUGAGACCAGCUCUUGACAGUCCUCUUUCUAGGUAUCAAUCAAUUGUUUCAUGUUUCUACAUGUUACAUAAACUUUCCACUGUUCAGAGAUGUGUGUGAAGCGUCUUCUCUAGAAGAAACUAGUACAGCCAGGUCAUCGUCACUCCAUGUAAGAUGGUAAUUGCAGCAGUCAGUGCUCAGCUUGACGUUCUGACACAGGACUAAGGUAUGGGCUCCAUUUCUGUGGGCUGAGCUCAACAUGUGAUCUAGAAAACAAUCGAAAAGCUAACAUCAAGGACUGGGAGUUCUGCUGAGGAAAUGAGUUCCUGUCCCAGAACUCAUGCUUUGUUUUGUGAAGAUGGAAAAACAUCUGUACGGUGCUACACUCUGUGGGAAAACCAGCGCUCGGGAAAACGGGCACAGAGGGAUCCCUGGGGCUCACUGCUCAGCCAAACUAGCAUAUUUGGCAAACUUCAGGCCAGUAAGUGAGCCACCAACAAAAGGUAUGCAGAGAGCACUUAAAGAAGACCCCUGACAUGAGCACACAUGUGCUGCUUCAUCACACAUGUGUGUGCAAACACACGUAUACACUUUUAAAAAAAAUGAUGUCAAA